rnacentral:rRNA from 1 species
GACGAGCCACACAAACGUUUAUUCGGAAUUACUGGGCUUAAAGGGUGCGUAGGCGGCGCGGUAAGUCGGGUGUGAAAUCUCGGGGCUUAACUCCGAAACUGCAUUCGAUACUGCCGUGCUUGAGGACUGGAGAGGAGACUGGAAUUUACGGUGUAGCGGUGAAAUGCGUAGAUAUCGUAAGGAAGACCAGUGGCGAAGGCGGGUCUCGUGGACCAUGACUGACGCUGAGGAGCGGAAAGCCAGGGGAGCAAACGGG